ACCACUGCCCGCACCCCCUCCCACACCACAACCCCAAUUUUGUGAGCAUUUAUGGCCCGCCAUACAAUUUCUAUUUCCCCAAUGUGGCCUUCGGGCCAAAAAGUUUGCCCACCCCUGAUUUAGAGAGAGAUAAACAGAGGGGGAAAUAUAUGAUGGGGGCAGUGUAAUACACUUCUUAUCUCAUGUUUUAGGGGUGACUACCCAACUCCCAGACAGAGUGUUCAAUACAUGUAAGUCUCAACAUCAUGCAUUACACAGUAUUAUACCAUCCCAGAGGGGGUAUGUGCAGAAAUACUGAUAUAGCAAUCAAUGUUUUUAAGAAUUUUUAGUUGCUAAUGUUGUAUGGGCCUAGUUCUUGAAGUAUAAUGUACUGGUGUUUUUUUUUCCUCAUGGGUAUGGUAGAAGAAAGACACACAUGCUAUAGUGACUAUAUGGAAAAACUACAUUACUAUCACUUAAAAAAUAUGGUUGACCCAUAGAAUUCCAUUCACCAUGGUUAACAGUGGCCACCAUUUUGCAUUCGCCCUUGAAUAGGAGUAAGUGCUUGCAAACAGUUGAUACCUUUUUAAAAAAAAUCCUGUUCCUGUUGGAAAGCGCCUGUUUGAGCCUGGGCAAUAUUCAGAUGUGUUUCACUUUCAAAGGGGAUUGAGCACUAAGUGUCCACCCACUCUUCCAGCUCCAAAAUGGUGGCCAAAGCCACUCCUGUAGAUCACUGCAAAAUCAUAAAGUUUGUCCAGUGGGGCCACCGUACUUUUCAACUGACUGGUCCAUACGUGAUGGUUGCUCUUUAUUAUGGAACAUUUUCUGUAUGAGUAAAGAAAGGCAGGUGGUUGAUGAAUUGGGGAGGUCUUGUCUUCUAAAAAGGGAAGACUGUUUUGGUAACAUGGAUGUAAUUUUUGUAUUGUGUACUCACAUUUUACAUAUAUAUAUACUUCAUAAAGCAAAAAUCAGUACAUUCAUUACGUUCACACAGUAUCCUGUCACUCACGCCAAGUUCUGUACUAAAGAUGACAAAUCACAAGUUAUCUGACAAUAACAAGAACCUCUUAUUCCCACACAUUUCAUUUUCCACAACUGUUGUCUAAAGCAGUUGCAUGUCAUAACAACAGCGGGAUAUAUAUAUAUAUAUAUAUAUAUAAAGCAUCCAUUCGCUCACACACAGGUGCAUGCACACACGUACUUACACACACACACACACACACACCAUAUAGUUUUUGUUUCACCCACUGUUGUUAUGACAUGCAACUGCUUUACACAACAGUUGUGGAAAAUGAAAUGUGUGGGAAUAAGAGGUUCUUGUUAUUGUCAGAUAACUUGUGAUUUGUCAUCUCAUCAAUAAAAUAACACAUAGAUGUGCAUUAAGCAAGAAAAAAAUGCACAUGGAAACAGCUCCACAUCCACUACAUCUGUAUAUGGGAGCUGUGCAGAUGCACACUCAGUGUAAACACAAACACAGAGAACAAUGGUGGUAGUUGAAAGAUUGCCUGUUACCUCACAGCAAUUUAAACCAAUUCAGCGUCACCUGGGUUGCAGUGUAUUGUCUUAUCUUUAGUACAGUACUUGGCCUGAGUGACAGGAUAUUGUAUGAACUUAAUGAAUGUACUGAUUUUUGCUUUAUGAAGUAGCUUUCCUCAUGCAAUAUUCCUGUAGAAAAAUAAACCUCCCCGCUCCACACACAGAUGCACACACACAAUCUGGAGAACCUUUAGCCUUUUUCUUUUCCCCUCAUCAGUAGCCUUAGAGAAAAGAUAGCCGAGCUUCAGUAUAAGAGUCGUUUGUCUCAAUGUGACUUGCAGCCAGACCUGAAUAUGAGGUAUUUAGAAUUUCAUUUACCUCCUCCCUUGUUGCAUUAGUAAUCAGUUCUGCUUGGCCAUAAGGCAGUUUUCCUACUCUCUCUGCUCCCCCUCUCUCCCCCCAGUCACAUCACUUAUAUAGACUCUCAUGUCAUGUAGACUUUAAUUUUUUCCAGCCUUAUACUGUGUCCCAUUCAUUGUGUUAAUAACCAAAUCUCUUUAUUUGCUACAUUGUCAUCACUGUACUUUCCGCUCCUGUUUGCCUCCCAUGCUGUCAGGAAUGCAGUGUUGUUAAAUUUCAUUCUGAAAACUGGAACGGAAUCUUGACUUAGCCCUUUGUUGGGGGUGAUACUAUCUGAGGCUGACUUGUCAUUUGUAUGCACAAGAGCCAAUCAUGUGGAACCUUAUGAGGGUGGAAGGACAUGGACCCUCUAUGGUAUGGAAAAUCCCUGGGGCGUAAUUGAUUUAAACAGUUACCUGUAAGACUCCCUCCAAUUUUACUUCUCUAGCAUACUUCAUGGGAACAUCAGAGAGCACUUUGCAAAUGAUAAAACCAGAUGAAAUGGAAAAAAGUUAGAGAAAAAUCAAUGCUAACCAAAUCAUUUUAAAAGGUUUUCUAAGUCUAACUAGGGACUUGCCCUUGGUAGCUAUUCAUCUCAGUGUCAAGGGGUGAAAGCAUGCUGGGGAGGUUAUUGUGCUUUGACAACUUUUCAGUAUAACUAAUGUAGACUUCCGAAGAAAGGCCAGGGCAGCGAUGGCUCCAAGAAUAUCUGCUUUGGAAGCGGGAGAAAUGGAACCGCCCUCAGAAGAAGCAACUAGGGUGGAUAGAUGAGCACUGUGUUGGAGGGCCCCAUCAAGAACAGUUCUUCCUUGUCAGUCUUCAUUCAGAGCCGUAGUAUCGGAAUGAAAACUAUGUCAAGACAAUGAGCAGGGAUGGAUGUAACCAUGCUGUGAUCAUAAAAACCUGAGACUGCCUUUGUCAUUGCUACCCCCAAGCCAUUGACUCUGCUGCUUUGAUGGACCGCUCCAAAGGAUCCCUAUAUGGCAGCAAGAGCAAUCAAAGUCAUGGUGUUUUAGGCACAGCUAGGUCGGAUGUGGAGCACAGGUGGAGUCAAGCCCUGAACAGAACAUCUGGCAGCUGCCAGUUCCACAGCAGUGAGUGUUGGCAAUAGGCACAAUGGGCUGCUGUCUCCUGCAGGGCCACUGGGUGUCUAUGUGGCACUAAGGAUACUCUAACAAGAAACAGGAGACCUACUGUGAGGCCUGUCCUUCCUGCAGCGCUCAGACAGACACCUCAUCCCCAUCUCAGGGAUGAAGGAGAAUGUGGGGCCAAUGUGAGGGAGUCGGAACAGCCCCUACUGGAGAAAGACAGGCCCCUAAUGGAUCCCAGAGGGGAGAGGAAAAAAAGAACAGACUCUCCACUCCAGAAGACAGGAAAAAACUAUGGGAUCCCCCUUCUCCCAGAGGAGAAAACAGGCCCCUGGCAUUUCAAAGGGGAGCAAUAUGAGAGAGAAAAGAAUGGUGGAGGAAGGUGAGAACACAGGGAACGAAAGGGAAAGGGGAAAGAAGAGCUGAGAGGGAGAGAAAGGGUUAAGAAAGCAGAGAGGGAGAAAAAGAAACUGAGAUCAAUGUACCAGGAAGGAAUGUGAGAAAAUAUAGAUGGGCAAGAUAGGGAGAUGACAACUAAGGAGGUGAAGACAGGUUGAAUCAGAUAGAAGAGAAACCUGAAGAAAUGCCCUGGGUGCAUUAGAAAUGCCAGAGAGAGCUAGUCAGAUGAAGGAUAGGAAAAUGGGCAGAGAAAAAAAAUAAUAGAAAUGUUCUCAAAUUCACAGACUAACUAGACUGAAGAAAAGAGACAGUGCAGAGGGGGAGAAGAAGGAAGGAUAGAUUUUAAUUCCACUGAAAAGCUUAAUGUCAAAUGUUACAAUAAGAUACACAUAAAUGUUAUUUUUUAGGUAUAUGGGGACAUGGUAGUUUAGGGGCUUGGGAACCAUGUUUGGAGAUGGGAUGUGUGAGUGGGGAGCAUAGGAUAGGGGUCUAGCAUUCAUGUGCAUGGGGCUACAGAUUAAUCCCAGGGGAAGUGCCUUCCCAGUGGUGAUAUUGCACUGGGUGAUGUUUAUACCCACUUUUGCAAGCAUAUUAUGGGAAAUAUGCAAAUAAGUUUGGAGGCCCAAUGGUUUUGAUUGAUAUGAACCUCAUUUUGUCUCCAUCUGCCCCAGAACUAGAAAGCUUUUAUGUACAUCUGACACCAGAGACCAUUGGUGUCUACCACCAAUAACUUAUUGACCCAAAGGUGCAUGUAAAUCUAGACAAGCAGAAACCAAACUCUCCCCAGGGACAUCUUUGAAACCAUACGUGUAAUGAUAGAAGAGCAAGGGCCACAGUAACAAACUGCAGGUGUUCAGGCAGAUAAGACUGAAGCUAGGUGAGUCCAUACCAGAUAAAUGAAUUAAUGCAAUGCUCCAAACAUUGUGUCCCACAUAAGAGUGCAAUGGGAACACAAAAUCCCAGAACUGCAGAUAUCCCUAGAGCACCACCGCUUCCCACAGCUCCCAUUGGCCAGGAAUGGUGAACCGCGGCCAUUGGGAGCUGCGAGUGGCCGUACCUGCGGACACUCAGGUAAACAAAGUAUACUGCGGCCCGCUAGGGGCUUACCCUGAACAAGCUGCGAACCAAGUUUGGGAACCCCUGCCCUAGAGUAGUCCCCCAUGCUUUUAGUGGGGAAAGCCAACAGCAGACUGAGAUCUGUUAAAUAACUUAUUCUAUUAGCGAUGCCAAUGGAAUUAGGUGGUUGUCUCCUUCUCAAAUAUCUGUUAAAGGGAAUGGGGUAGUUAACAGAAUUUCCCCGGAGAACCUAGUUUUCCUUACAAACUCAUAUCACUUUAAAAUAAGACAAUACCUUCUCUUCCCCCGCACCCCACCAUUGGCCUGGAACAGCGAACCGCGGCCAAUGGGAGCUGCGAUCGGCUGAACCUGCGGACGCUGCAGGUAAACAAACCAUCCCAACCCGCCAGUGGGUUUCCCUGAUGGGCUGCGUGCCAAAGGUUGCCGAUCCCUGACUUAGAGUCAGAUAACUGGACACUUUUGGGACAUGGCAAAACCUCCAAAAGGAACAUAUGAGAACCAUUAAACCCACAUGAUGGCAUAUGGAAGAUGUAGGAAGUCCCAGACCCUUGCAAAUUGUAGUCAGGGCACUAAGAAAGGAAGCAGAAUCAAAUUGUCUCUACUUUCUCAGGGAAGUCAAAGGAGAACACACUAAGGCUGUGGAGGGUACAAAGGUGGAGAGAGGAACAUGUUACAGGAUGAUUUUCCAGGCUAGGAUCCUGGCCAGUCUGUUGCCAUUAAUAAAUAUGAGACCCUUGAACAGCAAAACCAGCUUCUAAGAGGAAAGUGACAGGAGAGAAAGCCAUAGCCAUGUUACAUGGCUACAGUGGCCCCAGAAUGUGACACAGCCCCCUCUGUUUUGACACUGAAGUUCAGUUGCUCUUACAAGAAGACAGAGCCUCAUCCUAUACCCAGACAUCUCUCUACAGCUCUCCAUCCCUCAGUGCUCUCCCCUUUCCUCUAUGAGCCUAGAUUGCUCCCACUCCAGAAGAUCUUGAAGGUUCAGAAGGUGACACUCCUCUCACUCAGCACAGAACCAAUACCACAGCUCCAUGCUGAAGGGCUCCAUGCUGUUGGAGGUGUCCUUGUUCACACUUGUGCUUGUUGAAAAAAAAACACUCCUGUCAUUUUUUGCAUCAGGAGGGCUGUUCGCUCUGGCCAAAUUUUUAUGAGAGAAAUUACAUUCUACCUAAAUUCUCCCAGGAGCGUCAGUUAUAUGUGAUAUUAUUCCUCACUUGAUGUCCUAAACUGUUCUGUUGUUCUAAUGCAUGUGUUAUUAAAAAGUUGCUAUGGUCAACUUCAGCGGUGUCCUCAUUUCAGCUAUGACUUGAUUCCUGUAUGUACUGGGUAUAGUUUGUGUUUCACUUUGAGGGAUGGAAGAUCAUGCAUAAGUGUCAGAUUAUCAAUGCCUCCACACCAGCCAAUUGAGCAAAUAGCACCAGGAUUCUUUGCAGCUACUCAACAUGAGGGAUGAAACGAAAUGUACUAAAUGCACAGAGUUCUAGCCUCUGAUUUCAACCCUUACAGCUGGCAAAAAGAUGCACAAAUAAAUCCAAGGCAUUGCUUUGGGGUCAUCAGAAAAUAAGCCAAGAACCUACCAGCAUCUGGAUUUAAAGUGGCUCAUGUCAAAAGUAAGUUCCGAUAAGUGUAAGAAACAAAUUAAACAUUCACAGUGAUGGUCAAAUGAUAAAUGAAAUGAGCGUAAAACUGAAAACUUAAUCAAAACCAACCCACAUGGGGAAAUUACAAACUAACUUGAAAGAGCUAAACCUGGUUCUUUACUGGGUACGUCAAAGUUAUCACAAAGGACGCCAAACAGCUGCCACCUUGGAUCGGUCAACAAGCUUUUAAGUUACUUCACCAAAGCGAUGGCUUUCUUGGCUUGUGAGGCCAAAAUCACAUUGUGGGUUAUCAGUUGAGUAGUCCUUCUCCAUCCUCUCUUCUCACCCUUCUCAUCUUCCCUUUCUACUCCUCACUCUGACUCCUCCCUCAUCACUUGACUGGCUGUAGGCAGUUCUCAUCAUGGUGUUUCAGUUUCUUUUUGGCUCAGAGGGUGCAGACUGCCAUGUUAACCUUCCAUAAAACUGUGUAUAAAAGACUUAGCAUGUUAGUCAAACAAACAAUAAACUGACUUCUUCUCAA